GAAAGGAGUCUCUGAUGGCUGUGGUCCCAGAAUCGGGGUUUUGAGGGCGAGAUGAGUUUUAUGUUUUAUCCAACUGGCCCACAAAGUCCCGCUUUUGGGGUCAUUCUAAACAGCAGAGGA
ensembl:miRNA MIR193B microRNA 193b